rnacentral:sRNA from 1 species
UGAUAGGGUAGGUCUGCAAAGUGCGCCACAUCCUGUGGCAAAGCAAGACAUGACCCGCAUCGUGCGGG